rnacentral:rRNA from 1 species
AGCGAACGCUGGCGGCAGGCCUAACACAUGCAAGUCGAACGGAUCCUUCGGGAUUAGUGGCGGACGGGUGAGUAACACGUGGGAACGUGCCCUUUGGUUCGGAACAACUCAGGGAAACUUGAGCUAAUACCGGAUGUGCCCUUCGGGGGAAAGAUUUAUCGCCAUUGGAGCGGCCCGCGUCUGAUUAGCUAGUUGGUGAGGUAACGGCCCACCAAGGCGACGAUCAGUAGCUGGUCUGAGAGGAUGAUCAGCCACACUGGGACUGAGACACGGCCCAGAAUCCUACGGGAGGCAGCAGUGGGGAAUCUUGCGCAAUGGGCGAAAGCCUGACGCAGCCAUGCCGCGUGAAUGAUGAAGGUCUUAGGAUUGUAAAAUUCUUUCAGCGGGGACGAUAAUGACGGUACCCGCAGAAGAAGCUCCGGCUAACUUCGUG